GCGGGAUUAGUUGAGCGGUUCAACACUACCUUCCCAAGGUAGAGAGAGGGGUUCGAUUCCCCUAUCCCGCUCAA
rnacentral:tRNA from 1 species